AACGAACGCUGGCGGCAGGCUUAACACAUGCAAGUCGAACGCCCCGCAAGGGGAGUGGCAGACGGGUGAGUAACGCGUGGGAACAUACCCUUUCCUGCGGAAUAGCUCUGGGAAACUGGAAUUAAUACCGCAUACGCCCUACGGGGGAAAGAUUUAUCGGGGAAGGAUUGGCCCGCGUUGGAUUAGCUAGUUGGUGGGGUAAAGGCCUACCAAGGCGACGAUCCAUAGCUGGUCUGAGAGGAUGAUCAGCCACAUUGGGACUGAGACACGGCCCAAACUCCUACGGGAGGCAGCAGUGGGGAAUAUUGGACAAUGGGCGCAAGCCUGAUCCAGCCAUGCCGCGUGAGUGAUGAAGGCCUUAGGGUUGUAAAGCUCUUUCGCACGCGACGAUGAUGACGGUAGCGUGAGAAGAAGCCCCGGCUAACUUCGUGCCAGCCGCCGCAGUAAGAC
rnacentral:rRNA from 1 species